AGUGAACGCUGGCGGUAGGCCUAACACAUGCAAGUCGAACCGCAGCACAGUAAGAGCUUGCUCUUACGGGUGGCGAGUGGCGGACGGGUGAGGAAUACAUCGGAAUCUACUUUUUCGUGGGGGAUAACGUAGGGAAACUUACGCUAAUACCGCAUACGACCUACGGGUGAAAGCAGGGGAUCUUCGGACCUUGCGCGAUUGAAUGAGCCGAUGUCGGAUUAGCUAGUUGGCGGGGUAAAGGCCCACCAAGGCGACGAUCCGUAGCUGGUCUGAGAGGAUGAUCAGCCACACUGGAACUGAGACACGGUCCAGACUCCUACGGGAGGCAGCAGUGGGGAAUAUUGGACAAUGGGCGCAAGCCUGAUCCAGCCAUACCGCGUGGGUGAAGAAGGCCUUCGGGUUGUAAAGCCCUUUUGUUGGGAAAGAAAAGCAGCAGGUUAAUACCCCGCUGUUCUGACGGUACCCAAAGAAUAAACACCGGCUAACUUCGUG
rnacentral:rRNA from 1 species